UGCCAGCAGCCGCGGUAAUACGGAAGGUGCAAGCGUUGUUCGGAUUGACUGGGCGUAAAGCGCACGUAGGCGGGUUCAUCAGUCGGAUGUGAAAGCCCCGGGCUUAACCUGGGAACUGCAUUCGAUACUGUGAACCUUGAAUACCCAAGAGGUUGGUGAAGUUCCAGGUGUAGGAGUGAAAUCCGUAGAUAUCUGGAGGAACAUCGGAGGAGAAGGCGGCCAACUGGUGGUGUAUUGACGCUGAGGUGCGAAAGCGUGGGGAGCAAACAGGAUUAGAUA
rnacentral:rRNA from 1 species